AAGUUCUCCUUAAUAAUGGAACCCUUUUUCAUAAUCAGAUUGUCAUUUUUAUGACUGUAGGAUUGAUUAGUUAGCCUCAAAUCUUUGUUUUUAAGAUUUAUUGAUUUAUACUCAUCCAUUAGCUCAUUAAAGGCAUCAUACAAUUCUUCAAAAGUAAAAUCUAAAUGAGUUUCAGAUGUUACCUCAUUUUCAUUUGCCAUAAAUCAAAGAUUUGCUUUUUUCUCUUGUUCCUCAUCCGAUGAUGAUGAUUGAUCGGAGUCUGUCAAAGUGGAGACAAGAGCUUUCUUCUUCUUAUAUUUGUUGCCCUUCUUCAGCAAGGGACAGUCGACUCUGAAAUAUCCCGGCUUCUUGCAUUCAUAGCAUCCGAUUCCCUCACUUUCCCUUUCCUUACCUUUAUCCUUGUU
rnacentral:lncRNA from 1 species